rnacentral:rRNA from 1 species
UGGGGAAUAUUGGGCAAUGGGGGCAACCCUGACCCAGCGACGCCGCGUGAAGGACGAAGGCAUUCGUGUUGUAAACUUCUUUGGAGAGGGACGAAGAUGACGGUACCUCUCGAACAAGCCACGGCUAACUACGUGCCAGCAGCCGCGGUAAUACGUAGGUGGCAAGCGUUAUCCGGAAUUACUGGGUGUAAAGGGCGCGCAGGCGGCCCUGCAAGUCGGAUGUGAAAGAUCAAGGCUCAACCUUGACAGGCCAUUCGAAACUGUGGGACUUGAGUGUCAGAGGGGAAAGUGGAAUUCCUAGUGGAGCGGUAAAAUGCGCAGAUAUUAGGAGGAACACCGGUGGCGAAGGCGACUUUCUGGCUGACAACUGACGCUGAGGCGCGAAAGCGUGGGGAGCAAA